CACGGUAGGGGGCAAGCGUUGUCCGGAUUUAUUGGGCGUAAAGAGCUCGUAGGCGGCUCAUUGCGUCAACCGUGAAACCAGCAGCUCAACUGUUGGCUUGCGGUUGAUACUGGCGAGUCUUGAGUCCGGGAGAGGUGAGUGGAACUGCGAGUGUAGAGGUGAAAUUCGUAGAUAUUCGCAAGAACACCAGUGGCGAAGGCGGCUCCACUGGCCCGGU
rnacentral:rRNA from 1 species